rnacentral:rRNA from 1 species
CCCUUAGAUGUUCUGGGCUGCACGCGCGCUACACUGAUACUUUCAGCGAGUCCACCACCUUGCCUGGGAAGGUGGGGUAACCUCUGGAAAGUGCAUCGUGAUGAGGAUCGAUUAUUGUAAUUAUUAAUCUUCAACGAGGAAUUCCUAGUAAGCAUGUGUCAUCAGCCCGUGCUGAUUACGUCCCUGCCCUUUGUACACACCGCCCGUCGCACCUACCGAUUGAAUGGUCCGGUGAAGCCUCCGGAUUGGCGCGCACCUCGGUGCCGCCGAGAAGUUGGCUAAACCUUACCAUUUAGAGGAAGGUGAAGUCGUANCA